rnacentral:rRNA from 1 species
CCUACGGGUGGCUGCAGUGGGGAAUAUUGCACAAUGGGCGCAAGCCUGAUGCAGCCAUGCCGCGUGUGUGAAGAAGGCCUUCGGGUUGCAAAGCACUUUCAGCGGGGAGGAAGGCGGUGAGGUUAAUAACCUCAUCGAUUGACGUUACCCGCAGAGGAAGCACCGGCUAACUCCGUGCCAGCAGCCGCGGUAAUACGGAGGGUGCAAGCGUUAAUCGGAAUUACUGGGCGUAAAGCGCACGCAGGCGGUCUGUCAAGUCGGAUGUGAAAUCCCCGGGCUCAACCUGGGAACUGCAUUCGAAACUGGCAGGCUAGAGUCUUGUAGAGGGGGGUAGAAUUCCAGGUGUAGCGGUGAAAUGCGUAGAGAUCUGGAGGAAUACCGGUGGCGAAGGCGGCCCCCUGGACAAAGACUGACGCUCAGGUGCGAAAGCGUGGGGAGCAAACAGGAUUAGAUACCCGGUAGUC